AACGAACGCUGGCUGCAGGCUUAACACAUGCAAGUCGAGCGCCCCGCAAGGGGAGCGGCAGACGGGUGAGUAACGCGUGGGAACCUACCCAUCUCUACGGAAUAACGCCUGGAAACGUGUGCUAAUACCGUAUACUUCCUCCGGGAGACAGAUGUAUCGGAGGAGGAUGAGCCCGCGUUCGAUUAGGUAGUUGGUGGGGUAAAGGCCUACCAAGGCGACAAUCCAUCGCUGGUCUUUGUGGAUGCUCAGCCACCCUCGGCCUGCGACCCGACCCAGACUCCUACGGGAGGCAGCCGUGGGGAAUAUUAGCCAAUGGGCGCAAGCCUGGUCCAGCCUUGCCGCGUGAGUGAUGAAGCCCCUAGGGUUGUAAAGCUCUUUCACCGGUGAAGAUAAUGACGGUAACCGGAGAAGAAGCCCCGGCUAACUUCGUGCCAGCAGCCGCCGUAACAC
rnacentral:rRNA from 1 species